rnacentral:rRNA from 1 species
CAGUCGCCACGGGAAUACGUAGGGUGCGAGCGUUAAUCGGAAUUACUGGGCGUAAAGCGUGCGCAGGCGGUUGUGUAAGACAGGUGUGAAAUCCCCGGGCUUAACCUGGGAACUGCGCUUGUGACUGCACGGCUAGAGUAUGGCAGAGGGGGGUAGAAUUCCACGUGUAGCAGUGAAAUGCGUAGAGAUGUGGAGGAAUACCGAUGGCGAAGGCAGCCCCCUGGGCCAAUACUGACGCUCAUGCACGAAAGCGUGGGGAGCAAACAGGAUUAGAUACCCGUGUAGUCCCUGUCUCUUAUAC